AACGAACGCUGGCGGCAUGCCUAACACAUGCAAGUCGAACGAACCCUUCGGGGUUAGUGGCGCACGGGUGCGUAACGCGUGGGAAUCUGCCCUUUGCUUCGGAAUAACAGUGAGAAAUUACUGCUAAUACCGGAUGAUGUCUUCGGACCACAGAUUUAUCGGCAAAGGAUGAGCACGCGUAGGAUUAGGUAGUUGGUGGGGUAAUGGCCUACCAAGCCGACGAUCCUUAGCUGGUCUGAGAGGGUGAUCAGCCACACUGGGACUGAGACACGGCCCAGACUCCUACGGGAGGCAGCAGUGGGGAAUAUUGGACAAUGGGCGAAAGCCUGAUCCAGCAAUGCCGCGUGAGUGAUGAAGGCCUUAGGGUUGUAAAGCUCUUUUACCCGGGAUGAUAAUGACAGUACCGGGAGAAUAAGCUCCGGCUAACUCCGUGCCAGCAGCCGCCGUAAAAC
rnacentral:rRNA from 1 species